UGCAAGGUUCCCAGGUCCUGCGGGUACAAAUAAAGCUGUGUGUUUGUGUCAGUAUGUCUAUAUAUGUGCCUGUGUGUGCGUCAGUAUGUCUCUAUAUGUGUCUGCGUGUGUCUGUCAGUAUGUCUGUCAGUGUGUGUCAGUACGUCUAGAAGUGUAUGUGUGUGUGUGUCAGUAUGUCUGUCAGUGUAUGUGCCUGUGUAUCUGUAUGUUGUCAGUGUGUGUAUCUGUGUGUUUAACUGUAUGUGCAUUUGGGAU